AAAAGGCGCUUCGGUCAGUGACGACGCCACCUGCAGGAAAGCGCGUUCGGCGGGGCAGAAAGCGGAGCUGCAACGGGGAGGGCGUGGAGGCGGCUGCUUCUGUAAGUUUCUGUAUCCUGAAUCAGAAACCUGAAGGGGAAGGAGAAGCUGUGGUCGUAGUUGCACGGACAGGCAUACUCUUCUGACUCUUGGCAUUUCCCAAGAUACGCUGUCCCUAUAAGGCUUUUAAAAAUAAAUGAAGAAAACGCUGUUCGUAAGCUGCAAUCCUGUUGGAAGCAAAUCUUUUUUAAAAGCAGUACGUAUUUCCCAUUGUUGGAGAAACGAUUUGCUGUCCGGGCAAAGGGUUGCACCACCUUCUGAGUGUCUUAAAGAGGCAAUAAUGCCACAGUUCUAGCUCUUUUGCAAAAUGUUCCCUUGCACAUCGUUUUCUCUCCCCAAACUCUCAAAAAGUCUAAGGCCGUGUAACAAUUAAUUUUGACCGCUUGGGAACUCCACAGGAGCUGACCUGUACACCUUCCACCCAGCUGACCGGUAGCAGAGAGCUAAAAAUCAGGAAAACAGCACGAGCCGGAACCUUGCCCUUUCCACGCUGUGGUCGCGUUUGGUGAUUUUGCAAACAGUCGACACAACAGAGGACAGUGAUCGAGCUGAAAUGAUAACGUGUGACUAUGCUGCUGCCGCCGCAACUGAAUCUCCUCUGUGGAGAGGGAGGAGAGCCCAGAAGCUGAAAAGCAGCUGACGCAAGCUCUUUGGAGUGUCCAACAGAGUGCGGGACCCUGGCGAUGUCUGAUGCAUUGCAGCUAAGUUGGCAGUAAAUAAGCUCCACGACUAAGACAACAGGGAUCAGGAGGGGCAUGGAAAUGAGCCAGAAGCGGGACAAAUGGUACAAGCCUUCCCACUUUGGGCUCUCACAUUUUGAACAGUUACUUCAUUCUUUCUGGAUCUCAGAUGUCUUUGACAGAUAAUUUUCUCAUCCAGCUGCCCGUUUCUUUCCUGUCCUGUUUUUAUCAAAGGCCUUCUUGUCUGUUAUCGAAUGAAACAGGAUACCGCUGUUGGAAUGCUGGGAGCCGAUCGCAUUGAUGAAGUUGGCUGUGACUGGAACAGUAGAGGAGCACCAUUUGGGAUCUGCCUCAAGAAUUGCCUUUAUGCCUUAGACAAUUGAAAAAUGAAAGUUAUGUUGUAAACUUAAAGUAACAGUUGAAAGCAAAUUGAUACUUAUAUUUGUUGUAAAAGAAAGUUGGAAGUCAUUUUUCUUCUGUAUUUUUUUCUUUC